UUACGGCCACAUCAGGUUGAACCACCAAUUGCCGUACUAUCACCAAAGUUAAGCAACGUUGAGCCUGUUCCGUACUUAGAUGGGUGACCGCUUGGGAAUACCAGGUACUGUAAG